ACAGCUGGAACAGCGAGAUGCAAAAAUCCCGCGCCUUCAAAGCCAGCUCCUGCAGAAGAGAGAGGGCCUGGCAGCUGAGCUGGAUGCUUCAGGAGCAGAGGAUCUAUCAACUGCAGACCAAGCCUAGGGAGACGCAGACAAACCUGGAACAGUAACCCAGCCAGCUUCAUUUGCUCCGAUGGAACUUGGUGGCCAGACAGCAGCAAGACGAGUGGCACAAGCCAUGAGGCAGGAAAUCGACUCUGACCCAACCCUUGAGAUCCGGAAGGACAUUUGAGAAAAAUCUAAAACACAGCACAAGUAAAGGAAAGACCUGUGGCUGAGUACAGGAACAUGGAGGAACAUCUUUCGAGGGUCAGAAAGGGCCAGCUAACUCAGAGACAACAGGAUGAAGAA